rnacentral:rRNA from 1 species
AAUAUUUUACAAUGUGCGAAAGCCUGAUCCAGCCAUGCCGCGUGUGUGGAGAAGGUCUUCGGAUUGUAAAGCACUUUAAGUUGGGAGGAAGGGCAGUAAGUUAAUACCUUGCUGUUUUGACGUUACCGACAGAAUAAUCACCGGCUAACUUCGUGCCAGCAGCCGCGGUAAUACGAAGGGUGCAAGAGUUAAUCUGAAUUAUUGUGCGUAAAGCGCGCGUAGGUGGUUUGGUCAGUUGGGAGUGAGAACCCCGGACUCAACCUGGGGAAUGCUUUCAAAAAUGGCUAGCUAGAGUAUGGCAGAGGGUGGUGGAAUUUCCUGUGUAGCGGAGAAAUGCAUAGAUAUAGGAAGGAACACCAGUGGCGAAGGCGACCACCUGGGAUAAUACUGACACUGAGGUGCGAAAGCGUGGGGAGCAAA